CCUUCGAUAGCUCAGUUGGUAGAGCGGUGGACUGUAGAUCCAUAGAUCACUGGUUCAAAUCCGGUUCGAAGGA
rnacentral:tRNA from 1 species